rnacentral:rRNA from 1 species
AUUGAACGCUGGCGGCAUGCCUUACACAUGCAAGUCGAACGGCAGCACGGGGCAACCUGGUGGCGAGUGGCGAACGGGUGAGUAAUGCAUCGGAACGUACCUUUCAGUGUGGGAUAACGUAGCGAAAGUUACGCUAAUACCGCAUAUUCUGUGAGCAGGAAAGCAGGGGGUCGCAAGACCUUGCGCUGAUUGAGCGGCCGAUGUCAGAUUAGAUAGUUCGCGAAGUAAAGGCUAACCAAGGCGACGAUCUGUAGCGGGUCUGAGAGGAUGAUACGCCACACUGGAACUGAGACACGGUCCAGACUCCUACGGGAGGCAGCAGUGGGGAAUUUUGGACAAUGGGGGCAACCCUGAUCCAGCCAUGCCGGGUGAGUGAAGAAGGCCUUCGGGUUGUAAAGCUCUUUCGGCCGGGAAGAAAUCGCACGGGCUAAUACCCUGUGUGGGUGACGGUACCGGAAUAAGAAGCACCGGCUAACUACGUGCCAGCAGCCGCCGUAAGAC